rnacentral:rRNA from 1 species
CAGUCAUACCAACGGGAAAUCAACCUUUUGAGCUCGGUCUCGUGGGUUUUGAAGAGUUUCAAAGCCUUCGGAUUCGCGGGAUUGGGAUCUCUCGGUGUACUUUCUCGUACGGUUAGUCAACAUCGGUUUUGAAUGUCAUAAAAUGACUGGAGGAAUGUAGCUUCGAUCUCGUAUUGAAGUGUUAUAGCCUUUGGUAGAUGUGAUGUUUGAGACCGAGGAUUGCAACGGAUACCCUUCAGGGCUAUUCGUCUGAUCUCUGAUACGUUGCCCUGAUGUUGAAAGCUUGCUUAUGAUGUUAGGGUAUUACGGUCAAAAGGUUAGAACGAAUUACAUUCGUUAAGGAUGUUGACGUAAUGACUUUAAACGA